rnacentral:misc_RNA from 1 species
AACGCCCAGAAGAAGGAUAAGCGCAUCGAUUCUCCUCUUGUCAGGUACAAUGAACUGGACCAACCUGUCUGUAGGGUUUGUGAAAUGGUCUUGAAAUCAGAGGCUUACUGGGAUGCUCACCAAUCUUCUCGCAGACAUCAUGAGGCAAUAAAAAAUCUCAAAGCUAAUGCAGCUGGCAGGUCCGGAGUUAACAAUAUUAAAGCUGAG